UUGGAUUUAAAUUGGAUUCUAUGUGUUGCUUGCAGUGUGUUCCAUCGUGCAACUUAACAUGUGGAGUGUUAGAUCUACCACGUCAAUUAAUGAGGCGUGAUCCAACACUCCAUGUUUUUUUUUUAUUUUAAAUCUUUUUCUUUUAUUAUUUUUAAUUUCUUUUUCUUUUAAAAUUCAUAGUAAUUUCAUUUUUUAUCCAAAAUUAUUUCUAAAAUUCUCUUUUAUUUUUCAUCAUCUUAUUUUUAUUUUUUCAC
rnacentral:lncRNA from 1 species